AACACAAAAUAGUUCCUACGCAUGAGUGUAACUUUCAAAAUAUGUAGAAUAUUUAGGUAUUGUUGGUAUCAAAUGAAAGCUGAAUGACUGGUGAUCAUUGAAGAACACUUUUUGACUGAUAAUUUUGAAUAUUAAAAAAACUGCACCAAAUUUUAUAAAGAGGGUACUUUUUGCCUGUAUGUCAGAUCUGAAGUACCUGUUUUGGUACAUCCGAAGUUCCGGGAACCAGUUCUUUCUUAUAUGCCAUUAAAGGUAUGUUGAUUUUUCCAGUACAAGACACCAUAAAGUGUUGCUUUGACAUGCAAUGAUUGUCACUUUAUUUGAACUUGAAACAAAAGAGCUGUGUCUGCUUGAAAUUGAGGAAUUUAACAUAGAAAGCAAUGGGGCCAUGAAUUAGUGGUGUACUUCCUAUUACAGAGAAUCAUCAGAAAUUCAAUUUUUAGAAGUUGUACCUAUUCCAAUGAAAAUAAGUCAUAUUUGAUAUCAUAGAAUGAAAUAAAGUGAUGCUGAAGUCAGUAUAGCAAGUUUGGUUCUGUAUUACAGAGAAUCAUCAGAAAUUCAAUUUUUAGAAGUUGUACCUAUUCCAAUGAAAAUAAGUCAUAUUUGAUAUCAUAGAAUGAAAUAAAGUGAUGCUGAAGUCAGUAUAGCAAGUUUGGUUCUGUUAUAGGUGUAACACCACUAAUUCGGCCCGGCCAGAAAGCACAUACAAGAAAGUAGUACAUAUUUAACACAAAAUAGUUCCUACGCAUGAGUGUAACUUUCAAAAUAUGUAGAAUAUUUAGGUAUUGUUGGUAUCAAAUGAAAGCUGAAUGACUGGUGAUCAUUGAAGAACACUUUUUGACUGAUAAUUUUGAAUAUUAAAAAAACUGCACCAAAUUUUAUAAAGAGGGUACUUUUUGCCUGUAUGUCAGAUCUGAAGUACCUGUUUUGGUACAUCCGAAGUUCCGGGAACCAGUUCUUUCUUAUAUGCCAUUAAAGAUAUGUUGAUUUUUCCAGUACAAGACACCAUAAAGUGUUGCUUUGACAUGCAAUGAUUGUCACUUUAUUUGAACUUGAAACAAAAGAGCUGUGUCUGCUUGAAAUUGAGGAAUUUAACAUAGAAAGCAACGGGGCCAUGAAUUA